CUAUAAUUAGUGAGGGAGCUAUACCUAGAAGCAAAGCCAUAAUUGAAACUGAGAAGUACCUAGAAUAGAUGUUUUUAUGAACUGCUGCUGCCUUUUCUUCUUGCAGCAAGAGAAAGCAAAUCUAAAUUGGAAUAAUAAGGAAUGCCUCUGGAGUCAUGUUGGAGAGUUCAUACAGUGUAUUGUCUUGCUGUGCUCACCUUGAAUGCUUAUUUUAAAAGACAAUUAGCCAACUGUAGCAACCAGAAGCCCCUGAAAGAAAUCUUGUUUGCAACCAGAGUGAGGGAAAAGAGAGGAGAGGAGAAGAAAAAGGAAAGGAAAAGUGCCAAUACCAGGUCCUUUUGUCAGCUCCUCAGGCAUCCCUGCCCUGGAACAGUGCUUUAAGACUAUGAUCCACUCACAAUUGGAUAUUUCUCCAUAAAUUCUGCCUCACACCUUCUGCCAUUGUUGUGGGAGAGCCAAAUCCAGUCUUCACCAGAGUAAGUGGCACUCUGAGCCUCAACUCCACUCAAGCUAGACGCGGAAGCCUCAUCAGGUCAUCGCUGUGACCCUAAGUUAUAAAAGGCUAUGAUCAGAGUGAAAAUUUUGCUGCAAGGAGUGAUAGAUUUUUCUACUGUAUUGGCAUCUUCUGAUAGCUCCACUGCUAAGCUGGAAAGAGGUCAGGGAUAUUGUAUGCAAAGGAGACAAAUGGAAUGUUGUAUGGAGUGAAUUGAGAAGAGAAUUGUUGACUGGAAAAAUAACAAAAGUCUCCAAACUAUUCCUUCUUCUCUUGUUAUGGGGUUUGGAUGUGUACCCCUGGGGUUCAGGAAGGAUACCUUUUGCAAGAAUGUAAGACUCCAAAACUUAGCUUAAAAACAAGAGAAAUUUAUCAAUUUAGGAAGUAAUGUUGAGAAUGGCCAGGAGGAUAACAAGAUGGGAC
rnacentral:lncRNA from 1 species